rnacentral:rRNA from 1 species
GAUGAACGCUAGCGGCAGGCUUAACACAUGCAAGUCGAGGGGUAACAGGGAAGCUUGCUUCCGCUGACGACCGGCGCACGGGUGCGUAACGCGUAUAGAACCUACCUUUUACAGAGGGAUAGCCUUUAGAAAUGAAGAUUAAUACCUCAUAGUAUUGAGAAAUCGCAUGAUUACUUAAUUAAAGAUUUAUCGGUAAAAGAUGGCUAUGCGUCCUAUUAGCUAGAUGGUAAGGUAACGGCUUACCAUGGCAAUGAUAGGUAGGGGUCCUGAGAGGGAGAUCCCCCACACUGGUACUGAGACACGGACCAG